UGGGGAAUAUUGCGCAAUGGGGGAAACCCUGACGCAGCAACGCCGCGUGAGUGAGGAAGGACUUCGGUCUGUAAAGCUCUGUUAAUGUGGAAAAAUGGUAGCUGGUCUAAUAGGCCGGCUAUUUGAUGGUACACAUAGAGGAAGCACCGGCUAACUUCGUGCCAGCAGCCGCGGUAAUACGAAGGGUGCAAGCGUUGUUCGGAUUUAUUGGGCGUAAAGCGCGCGUAGGCGGACCUGUAAGUCAGAUGUGAAAUCUCGGGGCUCAACCUCGAAACUGCGUCUGAAACUGCAGGUCUAGAAUCUCGGAGGGGGAAGGGGAAUUUCGCACGUAGGGGUAAAAUCCGUAGAUAUGCGAAGGAACACCAGAGGCGAAGGCGCCUUCCUGGACGAGUAUUGACGCUGAGGCGCGAAAGCGUGGGGGAUCAAACAGGAUUAGAUACCCUGGUAGUCCACGCUGUAAACUAUGAACACUAGGUAUUGGAGGAUUUGACCCCUUCAGUGCCG
rnacentral:rRNA from 1 species